UCCUCUUGGAUGGGCAACCGCGUCCGGCGCACCAAGCCAUUCUUGCGGCUCGCUCCAGCUACUUCGAGGCCAUGUUCCGCUCAUUCAUGCCUGAGGACGGCCAGGUGAAUAUCUCCAUCGGGGAGAUGGUUCCUAGCAAGCAGGCCUUUGAGUCCAUGCUACGCUACAUCUACUAUGGAGACGUCAACAUGCCCCCCGAAGACUCACUCUACCUGUUUGCGGCCCCCUACUACUACGGGUUCUCCAACAACAGACUGCAG